rnacentral:lncRNA from 1 species
GAUAUAGCCGUUUGGAUGCUCAGAAAAGGACUCAUGACAGUUGGAAAUGGUUUUGAAAAACUGUGUGCAGGAUCAGUCUUGCAUCAGUCUUGAAACAGUCUUGACUGUACCAGCAAAUAAGAUGAACCUUCAUCCUUCCUUUCUUGUGGCAUGCAGCUGUAUAAUAGCUCUAAGUGCUGAUCAGUAGUAGCCUUAGCUUGAGAAUAAAAACCAGCUGGAAUAGUACAUGAGGAUAUAAGACAAAAAUGUACUUCUAUGACA